GGGUGAGUAAUGCCUAGGAAUCUGCCUGGUAUGGGGGACAACGUUUCGAAAGGAACGCUAAUACCGCAUACGUCCUACGGGAGAAAGCAGGGGACCUUCGGGCCUUGCGCUAUCAGAUGAGCCUAGGUCGGAUUAGCUAGUUGGUGAGGUAAUGGCUCACCAAGGCGACGAUCCGUAACUGGUCUGAGAGGAUGAUCAGUCACACUGGAACUGAGACACGGUCCAG
rnacentral:rRNA from 1 species